rnacentral:rRNA from 1 species
CAGUAGCCGCGGUAAUACGUAGGGUGCAAGCGUUGUCCGGAAUCAUUGGGCGUAAAACGCGUGUAGGCGGCUCGAUAAGUCUGCUGUGAAAGUCCAGGGCUCAACCCUGGAAUGCCGGUGGAAACUGUCGAGCUCGAGUCCGGAAGAGGCAAGUGGAAUUCCUGGUGUAGCGGUGAAAUGCGCAGAUAUCAGGAGGAACACCAAUGGCGAAGGCAGCUUGCUGGGACGGUACUGACGCUGAGACGCGAAAGCGUGGGGAGCAAACAGGAUUAGAUACCCCGGUAGUCCCUGUCUCUUAUAA